AUUGAACGCUGGCGGCAUGCUUUACACAUGCAAGUCGAACGGUAACAGGGAGCUUGCUCCGCUGACGAGUGGCGAACGGGUGAGUAAUGCAUCGGAACGUACCGUGUAAUGGGGGGAUAACGUAGCGAAAGUUACGCUAAUACCGCAUACGCCCUGAGGGGGAAAGUGGGGGACCGGAAGGCCUCACGUUAUACGAGCGGCCGAUGUCGGAUUAGCUAGUUGGUGGGGUAAAGGCUCACCUAGGCGACGAUCCGUAGCUGGU
rnacentral:rRNA from 1 species